rnacentral:tRNA from 1 species
GGAGGGUAUAGCUCAGUGGCAGAGCAUGUGCUUAACAUGCACAAGGUCCUGGGUUCAAUCCCCAGUACCUCCA